rnacentral:tRNA from 1 species
GUCUCCAUCGUCUAGCUGGCCUAGGACAUCGCCCUUUCACGGCGACAACACGAGUUCGAAUCUCGUUGGAGAUACCA